GAUGAACGCUGGCGGCGUGCCUAAUACAUGCAAGUCGAGCGAACGGACGAUAAGCUUGCUUCUCUGAUGUUAGCGGCGGACGGGUGAGUAACACGUGGAUAACCUACCUAUAAUACUGGGAUAACUUCGGGAAACCGUAGCUAAUACCGGAUAAUAUUUUGAACCUCAUGGUUCAAUAGUGUAAGACGGUCUUUCUUUCACUUAUAGAUGGAUCCGCGCUGCAUUAGCUAGUUGGUAAGGUAACGGCUUACCAAGGCAACGAUGCAUAGACUACCUGAGAGGGGGAUAGGCCAAACGGGAAAGGAGAAAAGGACAAGAAAACUACGGGAGGAAGCAGAAGGGAAUAUUACGCAAUGGGCGAAAGAAUGACGGAGCAAAGCAGCGUGAGUGAUGAAGGUCGUCGGAUCGUAAAACUCUGUUAGUAGGGAAGAAAAUAUGUGUAAGUAACUGUGCACAUAUUGACGGUAACUAAUCAGAAAGCAACGGCUAACUACGUG
rnacentral:rRNA from 1 species